UCCGGUGCUGUCCGACCCCUGCGAUGUGAUCCGGCGGUAACGGGUGUGCGCUUGGGCGCCUCGGCGGUGCCCGGUGCUCGUCGGCCCUCGCCAAGGCCUUCCGCCGGCGCAGCUGGCAGCCGCUGCAGCCGCUCUCCUCGCCGCUUCCCCGGGGCUCAGAGCAGGGCAGGUGCCCGGUGCCCCUCGUGAGGAGCGGGCUGGCGGUGGCGCAGCAGGGCUCGGCUGCGGGCGGGGAGUUCUGAAGAGCCACCGAGCGCCGCUGUGCCCGGCCUCGCUAACAGCCGGUGCCAGAGGGUUAUUUAUUCCACACUGUCAGUGGGAAACAUCAAGAUCUCAAGUACAUCGACUCAGAAGUGGUGUGUCCUUCAGGGAACAAGGAGCAACGAACAUUCUCUGCUGGGCAAGGCAAUGACCCAAAACCAUUUCAAACUGACUGAGCUCUGGGAGUUUGUUUCAAGAUUGUGUCUGUGCUACCUGGGAGGUUUGAUGGCUUCAUCUGGAAGUGCCUGACCACUGACUGUAGAUACCCCUAGGAGUACCAAGGAGGACACAUCAAGGUAUGUUGACCACAUAGGAGCAAUGUGAAGAUGUCUGAAGAUGCAAAGAGGUCACUGGGGCUGCUCUUGACUUACCAGGAUCUGAGACAGUGUGGAUGUGUUAGAGCCAAGGUGCCUCAGUGCCCCGCUCAGCUAAACAUUAAACAGAGGUAAACACUGCUGCA